AAUAGAUACCCGGGUAGUCCACGCCGUAAACGAUGAGUGCUAAGUGUUAGAGGGUUUCCGCCCUUUAGUGCUGCAGCUAACGCAUUAAGCACUCCGCCUGGGGAGUACGGUCGCAAGACUGAAACUCAAAGGAAUUGACGGGGGCCCGCACAAGCGGUGGAGCAUGUGGUUUAAUUCGAAGCAACGCGAAGAACCUUACCAGGUCUUGACAUCCUCUGACAACUCUAGAGAUAGAGCGUUCCCCUUCGGGGGACAGAGUGACAGGUGGUGCAUGGUUGUCGUCAGCUCGUGUCGUGAGAUGUUGGGUUAAGUCCCGCAACGAGCGCAACCCUUGAUCUUAGUUGCCAGCAUUCAGUUGGGCACCCUAAGGUGACUGCCGGUGACAAACCGGAGGAAGGUGGGGAUGACGUCAAAUCAUCAUGCCCCUUAUGACCUGGGCUACACACGUGCUACAAUGGAUGGUACAAAGGGCUGCAAGACCGCGAGGUCAAGCCAAUCCCAUAAAACCAUUCUCAGUUCGGAUUGUAGG
rnacentral:rRNA from 1 species